rnacentral:rRNA from 1 species
AUACGUAGGGUGCGAGCGUUGUCCGGAAUUACUGGGCGUAAAGAGCUCGUAGGUGGUUUGUCGCGUCGUCUGUGAAAUUCCGGGGCUUAACUCCGGGCGUGCAGGCGAUACGGGCAUAACUUGAGUACUGUAGGGGAGACUGGAAUUCCUGGUGUAGCGGUGAAAUGCGCAGAUAUCAGGAGGAACACCGGUGGCGAAGGCGGGUCGCUGGGCGGUAACUGACGCGGAGGAGCGAAAGCAUGGGUAGCGAACAGGAUUAGAUACCCUGGUAGUCCAUGCCGUAAACGGUGGGCGCUAGGUGUAGGGGUCUUCCACGACUUCUGUGCCGUAGCUAACGCAUUAAGCGCCCCGCCUGGGGAGUACGGCCGCAAGGCUAAAACUCAAAGGAAUUGACGGGG